GAUAGGUUAAGUUAAUAAGGGCGCAUGGUGGAUGCCUUGGCACUAGAAGGCGAUGAAGGACGUGACUAACUACGAUAUGCCUCGGUUAGCUGUAAGUAAGCUUACCCGGGGGUUUCCGAAUGGGGCAACCCGAUCUUAAUGAUCAUCAUCUUUUUGAAUUCAUAGAUUAGAUGAAGCAAACGCUGUGAACUGAAACAUCUAAGUAGCAGUAGGAAAGUAAAGAAAUUUCGAUUCCGUCAGUAGCGGCGAGCGAACGCGGAAGAGCCCAAACCUGGAUGCUUGCAUCCAGGGGUUGUAGGACUGAUGUUGAGUUACAAAGGUAUAAGAUAGCAGAAACAGUUGGGAAGCUGUUCCAAAGAGGGUGACAGGCCCGUAUGCGAAAUCUUGUACUCUCUAAUCAGGAUCCUGAGUACGGCCCAGCACGUGAAAUUGGGUCGGAAUCUGGGAGGACCAUCUCCCAAGGCUAAAUACUAACUAGUGACCGAUAGCGAACAAGUACCGUGAGGGAAAGGUGAAAAGAACCCCGGAAGGGGAGUGAAAUAGUUCUUGAAACCGUGUGCUUACAAGAAGUUCGAGGCCGUUAAUGGCUGAGAGCGUGCUUUUUGUAGAAUGAACCGGAGAGUUACGAUUGCGUGCAAGGUUAAGGUGCAAAGACUGGAGCCGUAGCGAAAGCGAGUCUUAAUAGGGCGAAUCAGUACGUAGUUGUAGACCCGAAACCGAGUGACCUAUCCAUGGUCAGGUUGAAGGUGGGGUAAUACCUACUGGAGGAC
rnacentral:rRNA from 1 species